AGUGAACGCUGGCGGUAGGCCUAACACAUGCAAGUCGAACGGCAGCACAGGAGAGCUUGCUCUCUGGGUGGCGAGUGGCGGAAGGGUGAGGAAUACAUCGGAAUCUACUCUGUCGUGGGGUAUAACGUAGGGAAACUUACGCUAAUACCGCAUACGACCUACGGGUGAAAGCAGGGGACCUUCAGGCCUUGCGCGAUUGAAUGACACGGUGUCGGAUUAGCUAGUUUGCGGGGUAAAGGCCCACCAAGGCGACGAUCCGUAGCUGGUCUGAGAGGAUGAUCAGCCACACUGGAACUGUGACACGGUACAGACUCCUGCGGGAGGCAGCAGUGGGGAAUAUUGGACAAUGGGCGCAAGCCUGAUCCAGCCAUGCCGCGUGGGUGAAGAAGGCCUUCGGGUUGUAAAGCCCUUUUGUUGGGAAAGAAAUCCAGCUGGCUAAUACCCGGUUGGGAUGACAGUACCCAAAGAAUAAGCACCGGCUAACUUCGUGCCAGCCGCCGCAGUAA
rnacentral:rRNA from 1 species